rnacentral:rRNA from 1 species
UACGUAGGGUGCGAGCGUUGUCCGGAAUUAUUGGGCGUAAAGAGCGUGUAGGCGGCCAGGUAGGUCUGGUGUGAAAACUCGAGGCUUAACCUCGAGAUGUCAUCGGAAACCAUCUGGCUAGAGUCCGGAAGAGGAGAGUGGAAUUCCUGGUGUAGCGGUGAAAUGCGCAGAUAUCAGGAAGAACACCGAUUGCGAAGGCAGCUCGCUGGAACGUUACUGACGCUGAGACGCGAAAGCGUGGGGAGCAAACAGG